GCAUAUCAAUAAGCGGAGGAAAAGAAACUAACAAGGAUUCCCCUAGUAACGGCGAGUGAAGCGGGAAGAGCUCAAAUUUGAAAGCUGGUACCUUUGGUGCCCGCGUUGUAAUCUCGAGACGCGUUUUCCGCGCGGCGCUAUGGACAAGUUCCUUGGAACAGGACAUCGUAGAGGGUGAAAAUCCCGUACUUGCCAUGGAUGCACCGUGCUUUGUGAUACGUGCUCAAAGAGUCGAGUUGUUUGGGAUUGCAGCUCAAAAUGGGUGGUAGACUCCAUCUAAAGCUAAAUAUCGGGGAGAGACCGAUAGCGAACAAGUACCGUGAGGGAAAGAUGAAAAGCACUUUGGAAAGAGAGUUAAAAGUACGUGAAAUUGUCGAAAGGGAAGCGCUUGAAGUCAGCCAUGCCGCUCAGGACUCAGCCUGGCUUUUGCUUGGUGUACUUCCUGGGUAGCAAGUCAGCAUUGGUUUGGACCGUCGGAGAAGCAUGGCAGGAAUGUGACGCCCUCGGGCGUGUUAUAGCCUGCCAUUGGAUACGCCGGUCUAGACCAAGGAACGCAGUGCGCCUUACGGCGGGUCU
rnacentral:rRNA from 1 species